UCCGACUUAACGUCGGCAGUCUCUCCAGAGUGCCCAACUGAAUGCUGGCAACUAAGGUCAAGGGUUGCGCUCGUUACGGGACUUAACCCAACAUCUCACGACACGAGCUGACGACAGCCAUGCAGCACCUGUGUUCCGAUUCCCUUUCAGGCACACCCACCUCUCAGCGGGCUCUCGGACAUGUCAAGGGUAGGUAAGGUUGUUCGCGUUGCAUCGAAUUAAUCCACAUCAUCCACCGCUUGUGCGGGUCCCCGUCAGUUCCUUUGAGUUUUAAUCUUGCGACCGUACUCCCCAGGCGGUCUACUUCACGCGUUAGCUGCGUUACCAAGUCAAUUAAGACCCGACAACUAGUAGACAUCGUUUAGGGCGUGGACUAC
rnacentral:misc_RNA from 1 species